GACAGAGGGUGCAGACGUUGUUCGGAAUUACUGGGCGUAAAGCGCGUGUAGGCUGCUUCGCAAGUCGGAUGUGAAAGCCCUGGGCUCAACCCAGGAAGUGCAUUCGAAACUGCAGAGCUGGAGUCCUGGAGAGGAAGGCGGAAUUCUCGGUGUAGAGGUGAAAUUCGUAGAUAUCGAGAGGAACACCGGUGGCGAAGGCGGCCUUCUGGACAGUGACUGACGCUGAGACGCGAAAGCGUGGGGAGCAAACAGG
rnacentral:rRNA from 1 species